rnacentral:lncRNA from 1 species
UGCCUUGACUGCGUACUGAACUACUUGAAAAUGAAAAGAAUAAUAAUAAAAGAACAGAGAAGCCUAAAUCAGAAACGUCCUGUUGAUUUAAGAAGAAAAUACAAAGUGAUAAACAACAAUUAAUCAAAGCAAAAGCAAACAAGACAAACUAAAAGACUGACACAUAAAUAUAGAAUUGAAGAACUAAUAUAAUGUUGGCAUAUUAAGAGUAAAUUACUAUUGUACUUGAAUGAUCAGAAAUUUAGAAUAUCCCAAAAUAAUCUUAUCAACGAGAAGAAUCAAUAGCCGAGGACCGGAAGAUGAAAAACGAGGAACGACACCAACGAAAAAAAAAACUAAGACUGAUAGCG